CUCCCUUUCCCCUUUCUUCAAUCCCUAAUCUCCUACAUCGAUCAUGAAACCUUUCCUCUUCCUUUUCUCUGUUCCGUUUCGCGAUCUGAUCGUCGACCAUUCAAUACAACCUCCACUUCGUUUCACCCUUUACUCUCAUUUAUGGAUUUUCUUAUGUUUUGUCCUUCUGAUUCUACAAUUCUCUCUACCACACUGCAAUGAGUUCCAACGGAAAAUCCAUGGUAUCUGGAUCUGCUCAUGGUUGACAUUAACUUCGCUGAGAAUUGAUGAUGAUGCAACUUAAUUGACGCAACAGCCUUUUCUACUAAACACAUACAGGUUUGUGUCUUUCACUGUGAGUGUGUUCGACUCUCAGGCUGUAUCAUUCAAAAGUAACUUGAAGGCUACAAGGUUGAUCCACGUGUGGCUGUGGCAAAAUUCAUUAAUCCGGAGCUUAUAGGAGGUCGUAUGUUCCUCAAUGCCACGUCUGGAUCUCAUUUCUAUUUUGACAAGGAGACUGAAGCAGGCGAGAGCUACUUUUACGAGUAUGUACUAAUGUUCAUAUUUUAUUCCAUCAUUAUAUUUCAGGGGUUACUCUCAUCAAUGCAGGUUGGUCACAAAUGACGACACUGGAAAUACAUCAGCAGCUUCAUUGUUGAGAGGCUAUGCUAAGGUUGAACGACUGACAAUAGCUGAGAUGAACCAGUUUAUCAUCAUAGUCGAGCCUGAGAUAAUAGAAUUUACCUGCAGUAGGAAAGUCACAUCUGUCAAGACAGAAAAUGGAUGAUGCAACAUAUCUUUCUUAAAGUGUUCAAGGAAAUUACAGAGGCGUGCCUCAUCUUUUGCAUGCAUGUUCUGCAAUCGGACUAUUGCCGUUGGUGUUCUCAGGUAACGUGUCGAGAUGACUGUUGCCAAUGACACUGGCGAAGCAGCUUUUGUAAGUUUCGAUGGUGAAAUAACAAAGCUUACCAAUAUCCUGACUGCUCAUGCUGUUCAUCUUCUGGUAUGUCUCUUUCUAACCACACAACAUCAUUAACCAUGUUACGAAAAUUAUGGUCUAAUAGGCAGGAGAAGGAGAGAACCCAGAAGAUAUCUAGCUCACACAUUUUAUUGCUAACCUUGCUGGCAAUACUUUCACUUCCACAUUUCAGUGCAAAUCAUCAAACCUUCACCGUCUCACGCAUCCUGGAUGAGCGUGAACGUGCGCCAGUUCCUGAUUGUGUUACUGAUGAGGGUAGCAACGAUGGACCUGAAGAUGACAUGCAUGGUUUCAGCUCUCUCCCAACCAAGGUGAUCGUUGGUAAUAAUGAAAAGGAGAACUCACCAGGUUCAGAAACGACUUCGAGUGGCGUCAUCAACACAUAAAACCUCGGGACCCAGCGUCUACCAAGCUGACUAAGAAGCCAUGAGCUGCUUAGGUGCAAAGUUUGCAGUAUCUUGACAUAUUAGUUGCUUUUAUAAUAAUGCUUACACAUAAUUGUGGUUUAAAUUCAAACUAUCCAACUCUGUUAUUCAGACAGUUUUAUGAAUUAUGUUCAAGUUCAAAGUUAUUUAUGUUUCUUUCUCAAA